rnacentral:rRNA from 1 species
UACGUAGGCAGCAAGCGUUGUUCGGAAUUACUGGGCGUAAAGAGUGUGUAGGCGGUGCUCCAGGUCUGGUGUGAAAUCUCCCGGCUUAACUGGGAGGGUGCAUUAGAAACUGGAAUGCUAGAGGAUGGGAGAGGUAAGCGGAAUUCCUGGUGUAGCGGUGAAAUGCGUAGAUAUCAGGAGGAACACCUGUGGUGUAGACAGCUUACUGGACCAUUUCUGACGCUGAGACACGAAAGCGUGGGUAGCAAACAGG